rnacentral:rRNA from 1 species
GUACUGUGCGAACGUUAUUCGGAAUCACUGGGCUUAAAGGGUGCGUAGGCGGUUACUUAAGUAGGGGUGUGAAGUCCCAUGGCUCAACCAUGGAACUGCGCUCUAAACUGGGUGACUUGAGUAAGAUAGGGGUAUGCGGAACUUCCAGUGGAGCGGUGAAAUGUGUAGAUAUUGGAAGGAACACCGGUGGCGAAGGCGGCAUACUGGGUCUUAACUGACGCUGAGGCACGAAAGCUAGGGUAGCGAACGGGAUUAGAUACCCCGGUAGUCCUAGCUGUAAACGAUGAGUACUAGCCGGGAGGGUCUUCGGAUCAUCCGGGCGUAGCGAAAGCAUUAAGUACUCCGCCUGGGGAGUAUGGUCGCAAGGCUG